UCCUGUAAGACACACAUUUGUACUGAUUCAUCUCGCAAAACGUUUCUAAAUCCGUUGUAUUCGUAAGGCGAGAAGCUAACAAAGCGUGAGUGUUCUGAAUUUGACGUGAACAUGCACUCGUAAUGAUUUAUUUGCGUAUUUUAAAAAUGAUAAAACGUUUCAGUUCGCGAGUGCUCUUGUUUGUGAAAAUAAUAAACUAUGCUUGCACUUUGCUGAAAUCCGUUUAUGAAAUUGAAAACACACGCACCAAACUCGCUCCUAGUUCGAGUACAAAAUUUCGCUUCGAUGACAGAGUUUGUUCAGUGAAGUUGGACUGUGGGCAGCGCUUAGGUCAAGUCUUUGUGAAGAGUUCCACGCAAACAAGCAAAGUGAACCGCAACGCCGCGUCACACAAUGCUAAGGAAUUCAAGAGCAAUUGAAAUCGACAAUGGAACCAAAUCCCAGCCAUCUUAAUUAGAUGUGCGACCUUGAUGUAUAAUUUUGUU